rnacentral:rRNA from 1 species
AGCCGCCGCGGUAAUACGUAGUGCCAACGUUAUCGAAAUUACUGGGCGUAAAGCGUCCGCAGGGGUUUUGUAAGUGUAGUGUUAAAUCUAUUGGCUCAAUGAUAGGCUGCAUUGCAACUACAAAACUAGAGGUAUGUAGAGGUGUACGGAAUUCCCAGAGUAGGAGUAAUAUCCGUAGAUACUGGGAGGAACACCAAUAGCGAAGGCAGUUCACUUGGACAUCACCUGACCCUCAGGGACGAAAGCGUGGGGAGCGAACCGGAUUAGAUACCCGGGUAGUCCACGCCCUAAACGAUGGUUACUCGGUGUGUGCGGCCUCGACCCCGUACGUGCCUAAGCUAACGCGUUAAGUAACCCGCCUGUGGAGUACGGCCGCAAGGCUAAAACAUAAAGGAAUUGACGGGGAUCCACACAAGCGGUGGAGCAUGUGGUUUAAUUCGACACUAAGCGAAGGACCUCACCAAGGCUUGACAUCCUCGGAACCUCUUGGAAACAAGAGGGUGCCCGCAAGGGAACCGAGUGACAGGUGCUGCAUGGUCGUCGUCAGCUCGUGUCGUGAGAUGUAGGGUUAAGUCCCGCAACGAGCGCAACCCUUACCCGUAGUUGCCAGCGGGUGAUGCCGGGGACUCUACGGGGACUGCCGGUGAUAAACCGGAGGAAGGUGAGGACGACGUCAAGUCAUCAUGGCCCUUACGUCCAGGGCGACACACGUGCUACAAUGGUCGGUACAGUGGGCUGCAAUCCCGCGAGGGUGAGCCAAUCCCAAAAAGCCGGCCUAAGUUCGGAUCGGAGUCUGCAACUCGACUCCGUGAAGCCGGAAUCGCUAGUAAUCGCGGAUCAGCCAUGCCGCGGUGAAUACGUUCCCGGGCUUUGUACACACCGCCCGUCACGCCAUGGAAGCCGGGGGGACCCGAAGUCAGUGGCCUAACCUUCGGGAAGGAGCUGCCUAAGGUCAAUCCGGUGACUGGGGCGAAGUCGUAACAAGGUAGCC